AGUGAACGCUGGCGGUAGGCCUAACACAUGCAAGUCGAACGGCAGCACAGUAAGAGCUUGCUCUUACGGGUGGCGAGUGGCGGACGGGUGAGGAAUACAUCGGAAUCUACUUUUUCGUGGGGGCUAACGUAGGGAAACUUACGCUAAUACCGCAUACGACCUACGGGUGAAAGCAGGGGAUCUUCGGACCUUGCGCGAUUGAAUGAGCCGAUGUCGGAUUAGCUAGUUGGCGGGGUAAAGGCCCACCAAGGCGACGAUCCGUAGCUGGUCUGAGAGGAUGAUCAGCCACACUGGAACUGAGACACGGUCCAGACUCCUACGGGAGGCAGCAGUGGGGAAUAUUGGACAAUGGGCGCAAGCCUGAUCCAGCCAUACCGCGUGUGUGAAGAAGGCCUUCGGGUUGUAAAGCCCUUUUGUUGGGAAAGAAAAGCAGCAGGUUAAUACCCCGCUGUUCUGACGGUACCCAAAGAAUAAGCACCGGCUAACUUCGUG
rnacentral:rRNA from 1 species